ensembl:snRNA U2 U2 spliceosomal RNA
UAUCCUUCUCAGCGUUCAGGCUAAGAUCAAGUUUAGUAUCUGUUCUUAUCAGUUUACUAUCUGAUACAUCCUCUAUCACUGAUACUCUUGUGUGAAUAAUGAACUCAAUUGUUUUUGAGGUGAUGAUUCCAAAUACCUAUAAACUUGGAAUCACCUAAAUUUUUGCUUUGCUUCUUUAGACCACAU